GAUGAACGCUGGCGGCGUGCCUAAUACAUGCAAGUCGAACGAAACUUCUUUAUCACCGAGUGCUUGCACUCACCGAUAAAGAGUUGAGUGGCGAACGGGUGAGUAACACGUGGGCAACCUGCCCAAAAGAGGGGGAUAACACUUGGAAACAGGUGCUAAUACCGCAUAACCAUAGUUACCGCAUGGUAACUAUGUAAAAGGUGGCUAUACUACCGCUUUUGGAUGGGCCCGCGGCGCAUUAGCUAGUUGGUAGGGUAAAGGCUUACCAAGGCAAUGAUGCGUAGCCGAACUGAGAGGAUGAACGGCCACAUUGGGACUGAGACACGGCCCAAACUCCUACGGGAGGCAGCAGUAGGGAAUCUUCCACAAUGGGCGAAAGCCUGAUGGAGCAACGCCGCGUGGGUGAAGAAGGUCUUCGGAUCGUAAAGCCCUGUUGUUAGGGAAGAAAGUGAGUGAGAGUAACUGUUCACGUUUCGACGGUAUCUAACCAGAAAGCCACUGCUAACUACGUG
rnacentral:rRNA from 1 species